rnacentral:snRNA from 1 species
GUGUUCUCUUUGGCAGCGCAUAUAUUAAUACCAAAACAGUAUGGAGAAGAUUAGCAUGGUCCCUGUGCAAAGAUGACACACAAAUUCACGGAGCGUUCCCUAUUUUU